GGGGGGGGCAAGCGUUGUUCGGAAUUACUGGGCGUAAAGGGCGCGUAGGCGGUUCGCUAAGUUGGAUGUGAAAACUCUGGGCUCAACCCAGAGCCUGCAUCCAAAACUGGCGGGCUAGAGUUCUGGAGGGGGUAGCGGAAUUCCUGGUGUAGCGGUGAAAUGCGUAGAUAUCAGGAGGAACACCGGUGGCGAAGGCGGCUACCUGGACAGAAACUGACGCUGAGGCGCGAAAGCUAGGGGAGCAAACAGGAUUAGAUACCCUGGUAGUCCUAGCCCUAAACGAUGGAUACUUGGUGUGACUGGGAUUGAAUCCAGUCGUGCCGAAGCUAACGCAUUAAGUAUCCCGCCUGGGGAGUACGGUCGCAAGGCUGAA
rnacentral:rRNA from 1 species